UACAGAGGUCUCAAGCGUUGUUCGGAUUCACUGGGCGUAAAGGGUGCGUAGGUGGUUGGGUAAGUCUGAUGUGAAAUCUCCGGGCUCAACCCGGAAAUGGCAUUGGAUACUAUUCGGCUAGAGGUUUGGAGGGGGGACUGGAAUUCUCGGUGUAGCAGUGAAAUGCGUAGAUAUCGAGAGGAACACCAGUGGCGAAGGCGAGUCCCUGGACAACACCUGACACUGAGGCACGAAAGCUAGGGGAGCAAACAGG
rnacentral:rRNA from 1 species